CGCGCAGGCGGUUUUAUUAGUCAGAUGUGAAAGCCCACGGCUCAACCGUGGAAGUGCAUUUGAAACUGUAAGACCUGAGUACCAGAGGGGAAGUGGAAUUCCCGGUGUAGAGGUGAAAUUCGUAGAUAUCGGGAGGAAUACCGGUGGCGAAGGCGACUUUCUGGCUGGAUACUGACGCUGAGGCGCGAAAGCGUGGGGAGCAAACA
rnacentral:rRNA from 1 species